ACAGAUGCUAAUACCGCAUAACAACGUUGUUCGCAUGAACAACGCUUAAAAGAUGGCUUCUCGCUAUCACUUCUGGAUGGACCUGCGGUGCAUUAUCUUGUUGGUGGGGUAACGGCCUACCAAGGCGAUGAUGCAUAGCCAAGUUGAGAGACUGAUCGGCAACAAUGGGACUGAGACACGGCCCAUACUCCUACGGGAGGCAGCAGUAGGGAAUCUUACACAAUGGGCGCAAGCCUGAUGGAGCAACACCGCGUGAGUGAAGAAGGGUUUCGGCUCGUAAAGCUCUGUUGUUAAAGAAGAACACGUAUGAGAGUAACUGUUCACACGUUGACGGUAUUUAACCAGAAAGUCACGGCUAACUACGUGCCAGCAGCCGCGGUAAUACGUAGGUGGCAAGCGUUAUCCGGAUUUAUUGGGCGUAAAGAGAGUGCAGGCGGUUUUCUAAGUCUGAUGUGAAAGCCUUCGGCUUAACCGGAGAAGUGCAUCGGAACUGGAUGACUUGAGUGCAGAAGAGGGUAGUGGAACUCCAUGUGUCAGCGGUGGAAUGCGUAGAUAUAUGGAAGAACACCAGUGGCGAAGGCGGUUACUUGUUCUGCAACUGACGCUGAGACUCGAAAGCAUGGGUAGCGAACAGGAUUAGAUACCCUGGUAGUCCAUGCCGUAAACGAUGAGUGCUAGGUGUUGGAGAGUUUCCGCCCUUCAGUGCCGGAGCUAACGCAUUAAGCACUCCGCCUGGGGAGUACGACCGCAAGGUUGAAACUCAAAGGAAUUGACGGGGGCCCGCACAAGCGGUGGAGCAUGUGGUUUAAUUCGAAGCUACGCGAAGAACCUUACCAGGUCUUGACAUCUUGCGCCAACCCUAGAGAUAGGGCGUUUCCUUCGGGAACGCAAUGACAGGUGGUGCAUGGUCGUCGUCAGCUCGUGUCGUGAGAUGUUGGGUUAAGUCCCGCAACGAGCGCAACCCUUGUUACUAGUUGCCAGCAUUAAGUUGGGCACUCUAGUGAGACUGCCGGUGACAAACCGGAGGAAGGUGGGGACGACGUCAGAUCAUCAUGCCCCUUAUGACCUGGGCUACACACGUGCUACAAUGGACGGUACAACGAGUCGCGAACUCGCGAGGGCAAGCAAAUCUCUUAAAACCGUUCUCAGUUCGGACUGCAGGCUGCAACUCGCCUGCACGAAGU
rnacentral:rRNA from 2 species